CCACCAUAAACCAUGUAACGUCAGCAACACACCAGUUUAUUUGGAGAACAACGGCUGUCGCUCUUCUCAGAUGGUCAACAUGACUUCCUGUGGAGGGUCCUGCGGAACCUACGCGAUGUACUCGGCCCAGGCCCAGAACUUGGAACACUCCUGUUCCUGCUGCCAAGAACUCUCCACCAGCAAGAGAGAAGUGGAGCUUGUGUGUCAUGAUGGGUCUACUGUCAGUCACUCCUACAUCCACAUUGAGAAGUGUGGCUGUCUGAAGACGGAGUGCAUGGUACAGGAGGCCAGUCAGGUCACCAAGGGCCGUCGUAGGAGACGAUGAUCGCCAGACCGCCGGUCUGUUCAGACCAACCCUCUAUUUAUGUCACGCUGUUAGAAUAGAUCUUUAUUAGUCUAUGCUUCUUACCCUUAUAUCUUUUUUUGUUGCAAAGCAAACAUUCUAAUAAACCUGGCAUUACGCUA